CUACGGGUGGCUGCAGUGAGGAAUUUUGCGCAAUGGGGGUAACCCUGACGCAGCAACGCCGCGUGAGUGAUGAAGGCUUUCGGGUCGUAAAGCUCUGUCAAGUGGGAAGAAUAUACGAAAUGCUAAUACCAUUUUGUACUGACGGUACCACUGAAGGAAGCACCGGCUAACUCCGUGCCAGCAGCCGCGGUAAUACGGGGGGUGCAAGCGUUAUUCGGAAUUAUUGGGCGUAAAGAGCACGUAGGCGGCCGCUUAAGUCAGAUGUGAAAGCCCGGGGCUCAACCCCGGAAGUGCAUUUGAAACUAAGUGGCUUGAGUAUGGGAGAGGGAAGUGGAAUUCCUGGUGUAGAGGUGAAAUUCGUAGAUAUCAGGAGGAACACCGGUGGCGAAGGCGACUUCCUGGACCAAUACUGACGCUGAGGUGCGAAGGCGUGGGGAGCAAACAGGAUUAGAUACCCUCGUAGUC
rnacentral:rRNA from 1 species